GCCUGUGUGGCUCAGUCAGUUGAAUGCCUGACUUCAACUCAGGUCAUGAUCUCACAGUUUGUGGGUUCCAAUCCCACGUCGGGCU
rnacentral:tRNA from 1 species